rnacentral:rRNA from 1 species
GAUGAACGCUGGCGGCGUGCCUAAUACAUGCAAGUCGAGCGAACAGACGAGGAGCUUGCUCCUCUGACGUUAGCGGCGGACGGGUGAGUAACACGUGGAUAACCUACCUAUAAGACUGGGAUAACUUCGGGAAACCGGAGCUAAUACCGGAUAAUAUAUUGAACCGCAUGGUUCAAUAGUGAAAGACGGUUUUGCUGUCACUUAUAGAUGGAUCCGCGCCGCAUUAGCUAGUUGGUAAGGUAACGGCUUACCAAGGCAACGAUGCGUAGCCGACCUGAGAGGGUGAUCGACCACACUGGAACUGAGACACGGUCCAGACUCCUACGGGAGGCAGCAGUAGGGAAUCUUCCGCAAAGGGCGAAAGCCUGACGGAGCAACGCCGCGUGAGUGAUGAAGGUCUUCGGAUCGUAAAACUCUGUUAUUAGGGAAGAACAAAUGUGUAAGUAACUAUGCACGUCUUGACGGUACCUAAUCAGAAAGCCACGGCUAACUACGUG